UUCUUUUCUUUUUUUUCUUUUUUUUUAAUUCAUUAACUGUAUAAUUUAUUCAAAUUUUCUGGUUCUAUAUUUAUAUUGAGAAUUAUGAAAAUUUUAAACAGGAUAGGGAAUAAUUUUGGCUUUUUCAAAUUAUGUGAGACCCCAUUUUUUAACUUUUCUCAAUCACAUUUUUAAUUGAUAAGUUAGAUUACAAGGAUUGUCUAUGAAACCCUGAAAUGUUCAUGAAACUUUUUUCAUAAAGCCUUUUUCAGGUGGAAUCUUUCAUUCCAAAGAAUGAUUGUAAACUAAUUUCAGCUUUAAAUUCCUAGUAAUCAUGUGCUUUGAUCAGUACAUUAAUAUUUGAUCGGUGUUACCAAUGGGCAUUAAUCCAAACGGUCUAAUCUCUCCUUUGAGAAUGAGAGUUCAAGCCCUGCUAUGGGUAAUAUUGUGAGUGUGGGUGCAUUUGCAUAUAUUUGAUCCAUAUUAGGUGUUCAAUAUUGAUUCUAUUUGGUAACCCUAAUGACAAAAAGUGUGAAAAGUGUAGUUUGGUUUAAUGUUGAAACCCAUUAAAAAACAUUCUUAUUUUUAUUUUAUUAUUAGUCUAUUAUCUCUCCUUUUCAUAUGGUUUUACUUUUCUUCUAUUGGUCACUAGUCAUGUUUGUAGAAAAUAUAUUAGCCGUCGUGUAGUCAAGCCUUUCUUUUAUUUUCUCAUUCACUCCAUACUUUGAUUUUUUUUUUUUCAUUGCAGUCUAUCUUUUCUUGGUAGUACUUGAGUAUUCCUUUACUUUCUCUUUGACUUUAGUCUUAGAAAGCUUAUUCACAAAAUUUUAUUGUCUAAUGAUGAGCUCUGGUAUGGCUGCGCUUGUGGGAUAUUGGGGUUGCUAACUUCGUUGGUACUUUGUUACAGCCCUUAACUUAUUAGUACUUUCGAUCACAAACAAGAUAUAGCAUUUUGCAGAGUGAAUCCACUUCGCACCAAAAUCUUACGACAAUCUCAAUUUGAUUCUAGCUUGAAGGCUCGAUAUAUUUCAUAAUUGCUGGAGUCCCAAAUUGAGAGCACAGAUCACAUCCAGUUCACUGUUCAUAAUCAUCUAAAUAAUUUUUCCUAAUCUCAGAGUGAUUAUGGUCACUAGGGACACUUUUUGUUUUCCAAGAGAAGCAAAUGACCUUGCAAUGGAGAUGCAAAAUCCGUGAUUGAGACAAAAAAACAUGUUAAGGAGAAGGAACUGACCUUUCUGAGGGCAUUUUGGUUGUAAUCUGCUCGGUGAAUUGGGUCAGUUGUCAACUUGUCCCAAUCAGAAGAUCUGAGAAUAUGACGUACAAAUUCACUUAUGUUGCGUUUGGAAGCACCAAAUUGGCUCCUAGUUUCAAUUUGUCCAGGUUUCCGGCUCACAGUGUUGUAGGAACCAUUAGCGUAGGCUCAAAACUGAGUCCUUGCAUAUGAAACAGAGGUUCCAAUUAAGAAGUCAGUCUUGAACCCUCUAUGGUAGUCUCUGCUACUGCAACAAUCAACAACAAGAGGCAUGCAGUGGUGCCUGCUUCUAAAAGUGACAUGAAGAAUAAAAACAACACUCAUGAUUGUGAGUCGUCGAUAACCACAACAAACAGAAGAGAGGAGAACUCAGAAAGUGCAGAUUUUCAACAGCCCCUUCAAAAUGAAAACAUCUCCUUGCUUAAAAAUGGGAAGUCAGAAAGUUUAGUAGAGUUGGAUCAAAACGGCAUUGGUCUUCAUGAUCAUGGAGAGUCCACUUUCUCUGCAUUUGGCCUUCUUUCAAGCCCAAAAGCAAAUUCAGGGCAAAUAGCAUAUUCUGGUAGCAUCUCUCAUCGGUCAAAUAGCAGCACAACUAGCACACGAUCCUUCGCUUUCCCUGUAUUACCCUCAGAAUGGAAUGACAGCCCCGUAAGAAUGAUGGAAGCUGACCGGAGGCAGUUAAGGAAGCGUUGGAAAUUUGGUUUUCUCUGCUGUAAAUUCUAAGUGCUCUGUGUGUGUGUGACCUCCUUUGAUGUGGUAAUCUUUUACGUUAUCUUUUUCUCCUUUGAUCAAGAAUUGCUUUGAAUGUAGCAGAUGUUCCAGAAUGGAAUGCCAUAGCCCGGUUAUGAUUUGAAACAUACAACUUUUGAUUUAAAUGAAACAGUUUGGAUUUAGAAUCUUGGUUCUGUUGCCAAAUACCAUAUUAUUG